GACAGAGGUGCCGAGCGUUAGUCGGAAUCACUGGGCUUAAAGCGUGUGUAGGCGGCGGCGUAAGUACCUUGUGAAAUCCCACGGCUCAACCGUGGAACUGCUCGGUAUACUGCGUCGCUUGAGCCAGCUAGGGGCGACCGGAACAAACGGUGGAGCGGUGAAAUGCGUAGAGAUCGGAAAGAACACCAACGGCGAAAGCACUCUGCUGGGCCGACACUGACACUGAGAGACGAAAGCUAGGGGAGCGAAUGGG
rnacentral:rRNA from 1 species